AGUUUCCAAAUUUGAGUCCCUGGCCAUUAAGGGAUGAGAUUCAAGUGCUUUGUGCACGUGGCCCCUUAAGCCCAUGGAGACACUGGGACAUUAGUGGGGCUCCAGAUGGGCACGAGGGGCCUCCCACCUGGCUGCUGCUUCCCAGGAGGAACAUCCAGGAUAAGCAGUGGCUGCUGAUCCAGAAAGCAGCGCUGGAGUUAGGGACUGUGUUCCAGCCACUCGUCUGCCACACGCGAGGACUGACAGCAGGAAAACCAAAAAUAAAUCUCCUGACAAAAGGGAAUCAAGCAACCCACUGAAAACCAAGGCAUUCCACUUGGACUCUGACUUAGGCCAAGAUCUCCAGGGUUUUUUUUUUUUAAACAAGGAAGAAAGACUGAUCCCUCCGCAAGCAAAGAACCCCAGGACUGCAAGAAAAGUUCCAUUAUUCCAAGUAUUGCAUCAUAAAGGUUCUCCUCAAACAUCCUCCUGCCCAGUCCAAACAACACCAACACAUUCACCCCCCAAAAGGCAGGAAGGUAAAGAACUGGAAAAUCCACACGAAGUUUUCCUACAAGCAAUUACCAGUUCUAAAUCCCUACUGAUAACGGCGGCAAAAAGAGCUUAAAAACCCAAAUAAAAGGAAACUGUUG